rnacentral:rRNA from 1 species
AUACGGAGGGUGUAAGCGUUGUUCGGAAUUACUGGGCGUAAAGCGCGCGUAGGCGGAUUGGUCAGUUAGGGGCGAAAUCCCAGGGCUUAACCCUGGAACUGCCUCUAAUACUGCCAGUCUUGAGUUCGGGAGAGGUGAGUGGAAUUCCUAGUGUAGAGGUGAAAUUCGUAGAUAUUAGGAAGAACACCAGUGGCGAAGGCGGCUCACUGGCCCGAUACUGACGCUGAGGCGCGAAAGCGUGGGGAGCAAACAGGAUUAGAUACCCCAGUAGUCC